rnacentral:rRNA from 1 species
CGACCGGCGCACGGGUGAGUAACGCGUAUCCAACCUGCCCACCACUUGGGGAUAACCUUGCGAAAGUAAGACUAAUACCCAAUGAUAUCUCUAGAAGACAUCUGAAAGAGAUUAAAGAUUUAUCGGUGAUGGAUGGGGAUGCGUCUGAUUAGCUUGUUGGCGGGGUAACGGCCCACCAAGGCAACGAUCAGUAGGGGUUCUGAGAGGAAGGUCCCCCACAUUGGAACUGAGGCACGGUCCAA